rnacentral:misc_RNA from 1 species
GUUGAACCUCCAGUUGAAAAGAAGAAGAAAAAGGGUUUGUCGAAAUUUUUGGUUAUUGGCAUGUCAGUGUCUCUUGCUGCUGGGCUUGGUGUUGCUUCCUACUUUUCACUAUACCAGAAAGGAUUCAAAUUUCAAUUUAGUGGGCCGCUCCCUGAGUCACAUGAUAGUUUAGUAUCCAAUGAGGCUUCUAAUAAGGGAGAAGAUGGCGAAACGGUUGAUUUGUCAAUGGAAAGUGAUCAGAUUUCUGAAACGGUGGAGGGAGGUUCUGAUUUCGAUGAUAAAAAUGUUGUCUUGGAGACACACAAUGUUUCAACUAAAGGAGUAACUAGAGGAGUACCG